rnacentral:rRNA from 1 species
AACGAACGCUGGCGGCAUGCCUAACACAUGCAAGUCGAACGAGACCUUCGGGUCUAGUGGCGCACGGGUGCGUAACGCGUGGGAAUCUACCCUUGGGUUCGGAAUAACAGUUAGAAAUGACUGCUAAUACCGGAUGAUGACGUAAGUCCAAAGAUUUAUCGCCCAAGGAUGAGCCCGCGUAAGAUUAGCUUGUUGGUGGGGUAAUGGCCUACCAAGGCGACGAUCUUUAGCUGGUCUGAGAGGAUGAUCAGCCACACUGGGACUGAGACACGGCCCAGCCUCCUAAGGGAGGCAGCAGUGGGGAAUAUUGGACAAUGGGCGAAAGUCUGAUCCAGCAAUGCCGCGUGUGUGAUGAAGGCCUUAGGGUUGUAAAGCUCUUUUACCAGGGAUGAUAAUGACAGUACCUGGAGAAUAAGCUCCGGCUAACUCCGUGCCAGCCGCCGCCGUAA